rnacentral:rRNA from 1 species
UACAGAGGGGGCAAGCGUUGUUCGGAAUUACUGGGCGUAAAGGGCGCGUAGGCGGCCUGCUAAGUCGAACGUGAAAUCCCCGGGCUCAACCCGGGAACUGCGUCCGAUACUGGUUGGCUUGAAUCCGGGAGAGGGAUGCGGAAUUCCAGGUGUAGCGGUGAAAUGCGUAGAUAUCUGGAGGAACACCGGUGGCGAAGGCGGCAUCCUGGACCGGCAUUGACGCUGAGGCGCAAAAGCCAGGGGAGCAAACGGG